CAGCAGCCGCGGUAAAACGUAGGUGGCAAGCGUUGUCCGGAAUUAUUGGGCGUAAAGGGCUCGCAGGCGGUUUCUUAAGUCUGAUGUGAAAGCCCCCGGCCCAACCGGGGAGGGUCAUUGGAAACUGGGAAACUUGAGUGCAGAAGAGGAGAGUGGAAUUCCACGUGUAGCGGUGAAAUGCGUAGAGAUGUGGAGGAACACCAGUGGCGAAGGCGACUCUCUGGUCUGUAACUGACGCUGAGGAGCGAAAGCGUGAGGAGCGAACAGGAUUAGAUACCCCGGUAGUCCCUGUCUCUUAUAU
rnacentral:rRNA from 1 species